AAUAACGUUCGGAUAAUCGCUGUUUUCUUAGGGAAGCAGAGGAAAGUCCAUGCUCGCACGGUGCUGUGAUGCCCGUAGUGAUCGUGCCUGGUCAAACAAUAAGCCAGGGCAUUCCGGUGUUUUCCGGUUUGACGGCAGGUGAAUGACCUAAGUCUUUUAGAUAUGGUCUUAUAACCUUGAAGGUGCCACAGUGACGAAGUUCCGGCAGAAAUGCUCGGAAGUGGAACGAGGUAAACCCCACGAGCGAGAAACUCAAACUUAUGGUAGGGGCACUUUUCCCGAGGAAUCAAGAACGAGGGACGAGGUGCGAAUUUAUUUUCGCGCAGAUAGAUGGUUAUCUCUUUACUAUUACCCUGUAUAUAGUAAAGAACAGAACAUGGCUUACAGAGCGUUAUUUGCA
rnacentral:RNase_P_RNA from 1 species